AUCUAUUGGAAUGCAAAAUUAUAAUGUACAGAUUUAUGCAAGAGGAAUGACUGCAAAGUGCAUUGCAUGAGUGCUGUAAGAAGCUGAAAUUGCUGCUGUUGUAGCUGUCACAGGCACGCUAUUUUCUUUGGCCCACGGCUCACAGCUGAGAAUUACUCAGAUUUUGCCUCUGAAUGUGGACUUGAAUCUGCAGUGGGAUACUCAUUCCUGGCUUCCCUAUUAGACUUUCAAAU